CCUACGGGUGACAGCAGUGAGGAAUAUUGGUCAAUGGACGCAAGUCUGAACCAGCCAUGCCGCGUGCAGGAAGACGGCUCUAUGAGUUGUAAAUUGCUUUUGUACGAGGGUAAACGCAGAUACGCGUAUCUGUCUGAAAGUAUCGUACGAAUAAGGAUCGGCCAACUCCGUGCCAGCAGCCGCGGUAAUACGGAGGAUUCAAGCGUUAUCCGGAUUGAUUGGGUGUAAAGGGUGCGUAGGCGGUAGGAUAAGUUAGAGGUGAAAUCCCGAGGCUCAACUUCGGAAUUGCAUCUGAUACUGUUCGGCUAGAGAGUAGUUGCGGUAGGCGGAAUGUAUGGUGUAGCGGUGAAAUGCUUAGAGAUCAGACAGAACACCGGUUGCGAAGGCAGCUUACCAAGCUACGUCUGACGUUGAGGCGCGAAAGCGUGGGGAGCAAACAGGAUUAGAUACCCUUGUAGUC
rnacentral:rRNA from 1 species